rnacentral:lncRNA from 1 species
ACCCAGACCCCAGGCCCUGGAAACAGAGGAGGGGCAGGUAAGCAACCAGAGGCAGGAAAGGAAAAAUGGGAAGGUUUUCUCAGAGUUAACUUUCUCUAACCUUGAAGCCGAAUCCAGGGGCAGGAGCAGGAGUCAACUCUGAGAGGACGUGAUAGAGCUUCAGCAACAUGGAGAGGAGAUAGCCGGUCUGGCUAGGAUGGAAGAAAUGUACAUGGAGAAGAAAGACAGAAGAACCAUCACUGAGCACUAAACUAAUCAGCCAUAAUGGGCAGAUUGACUGGCAAGCCUAUCACCACCUUGAUAACAGAUGACAUUAAAGAGAAAAAGUGGGGAGAGAGAAAGCUAUGAGAAGAGUACAUCUGAAGAUACUUGGAAAAAGUGGUUUCUUUGGUGGAUUCAAUAAGUAUCAAUGUGAGGAUUAAAUGGGAUGAAAAAUAAAACAUCUGUCGGAGUGCCUGGAAUAUGAGCCUAGUAGAGCACCCAGCACACAGUAGGCUCUUAAUACAUGCUUGGGAUGCUGGCCAAGAAGACUAGGGGUAAAGUACUUUUCUUACCUGGUACACAAAUAUCCAAGAUUGGAAAGAAGAAAGAAAAUGACGACAGAAUUUUGCAGUCUACAAGGCAAACACUGCCAUUCAUGUAGUUAUGGAGUUCCUACUAUGUGCAGACAAUGGGAAACUUUACGAACAGCACCCAAAGAGGGCCAGAACAGCCUGCUUGUUGGACGCCCAUCCACACCAUGAGGCUUUCCUGGAUGUAGAGGGAAGUUACUGUUCCUCGGGAAAACCCCUCUUCCCAGCUGGGUUUUAAAAAGCAGCAGGUUUAAGAGCUGACCAUAUCUGAAAGACUCUAGAAUAGCAGAGGAUUGAUUAAAGGGACACAGAGGUUCAUGUGAUGUAAUAAGAAAGAAAUAAAGGAAGCU